rnacentral:rRNA from 1 species
AGUAACAAGUGGGCAACCUGCCUCAAGGACUGGGAUAACUCCGGGAAACCGGGGCUAAUACCGGGCGACGUCGUCUGGCGCAAGCCAGCCGACCAAAUGGUAGCUUCGGCCUCCGCCUUGAGAUGGGCCCGCUUCCUAUCAGCUUGUUGGUGAGGUAACGGCUCACCAAGGCUACGACGGGUAGCUGGUCUGAGAGGAUGAUCAGCCACACUGGGACUGAGAUACGGCCCAGACUCCUACGGGAGGCAGCAGUGGGGAAUUUUGCGCAAUGGGCGAAAGCCUGACGCAGCAACGCCGCGUGAGCGAAGAAGGCCUUCGGGUUGUAAAGCUCUGUCAGGGGGAAAGAAGGCACCUGGGUUAAUAGCCCAAGGGCUGACGUACCCCCAAAGAUC